rnacentral:rRNA from 1 species
GAUGAACGCUGGCGGCGUGCCUAAUACAUGCAAGUCGAGCGAACGGACGAGAAACUUGCUUCUCUGAUGUUAGCGGCGGACGGGUGAGUAACACGUGGAUAACCUACCUAUCAGACUGGGAUAAAUUCGGGAAACCGUAGCUAAUACCGGCUAAUAUUUUGAACCGCAUUGUUUAAAAGUGAAAGACGGUCUUGAUGUCACUUCUAGAUGGAUCCGCGCGGCAUUAGCUGGUUGGUAAGGUAACGGCUUACCAAGGCAACGAUGCAUAGCCGACCUGAGAGGGUGAUCGGCCACACUGGAACUGAGACACGGUCCAGACUCCAACGGGAGGCAGCAGAGGGGUAUCUUCCGCAAUGGGCGGAAGCCUGACGGAGCAACGCCGCGUGAGUGAUGAAGGUCUUCGGAUCGUAAAACUCUGUUAUUAGGGAAGAACAUAUGUGUAAGUAACUGUGCACAUCUUGACGGUACCUAAUCAGAAAGCCACGGCUAACUACGUG